rnacentral:lncRNA from 1 species
CAAGACCAGCCUGGGCAACGUGGCGAACCCUGUCUCUACAAAAAUUGCCCAGGUGUGAUGGCAUGCAACUAUAGUCCCAGCUACUUGGGAGGCUGAGGUGGGAGGAUCACCUGAGCCUGGGAGGUCAAUGAUACAGCGAGCCAGGCUUGCGCCACUGCACUCCAGCCUGGGUGACAGCGAGACCCUGUCCCAGAAACAAAACUUCUCUAGUAACACAUUUUCUUUUCCUCAUUUCAGCCUAAAUUAACAAUGGCGAAAUGCAGGCGAAAUGUGGAAAAUUUCCUAGAAGCUUGCAGAAAAAUUGGUGUACCUCAGGAGCAAUUAUGUUUGCCUCUCCACAUUUUAGAAGAGAAAGGUUUGAGCCAGGUUGCAGUGACGGUCCAGGCUCUCCUGGAACUUGCCCCACCCAAGCAACAGCAGCACCAGUUAUCUGCUGUUUGAGGAUCCCCAGGACGGUGGGCACUGGCCUGGCCAAAACAAGGAACAGGACACCGUGAUUGCUGCUGCCAGCUGUCUGCUUAAACAAAGCUCUUAUGUGUUCUCAGAAGGGACCGUUCCCAUGAUUCCUAACAGGAAUAUUUUGCUUCAUUUCUCCAUUUUAGGGGAGGUUAUUUCCAUUUCCAUUGGAUUUUUUACGAAGACACCAUUGGUUUUCUCAGAUGAAACUUCUCUUACUGAAAACCCAGCACCUAACUUGGCUGUGUUUUCCUGGAGAGCAGGCGUGUUUCACGUGCCAGAAAGCACAUCUUCUGUGUUAGGCACAAGCAUGCUGUGCCAUUGUUUUUACCUGGUCUCAAGACAACUGGUCUGCUGGUUUCUAAACUUGGUUGUUCAUUAGACUCUCCUGGAGUAUUUGUUAAAAUACAGAUUCACAUUCAGUAGAUCUGGGGUAAGGCCUAGGAAUCUGCAUUUUCAACAACCAUUGCACAUGUUUUUGUUUUUGUUGGAGAAGGAGUUCUGCUCAGUCGCCCAGGCUGGAGUGCAGUGGCAUAAUCUCAGCUCACUGCAACCUCCGCCUCCCGGGCUCAAGCGAUUCUCCUGCCUCAGCCUCCCGAGUAGCUGGGACAACAGGCGCCCGCCACCACGCCUGGCUAAUUUUCUUGUAUUUUUAGUAGAGAUGGGAUUUUGUCAUGUUGGCCAGGCUGGUCUCAAACUCCUGACUUCAAGUGAUCCACCUGCCUCGGCCUCCCAAAAUGCUGGGAUUACAGGCGUGAGCCACUGUGCCUGGCCUCCCAGAGUGCUGGGAUGACAGGCGUGAGCCCCCGCGCCCGGCCUCCGAGAGUGCUGGGAUUACAGGCGUGAGCCACUGUGCCCGGCCUCUGAGGGUGCUGGGAUUACAGGCGUGAGCCACUGCGCCCGGCCCAUUGCACGUGUUUUUCAUGUAGUGGAACCACUGUUCAAAGCUAGAUAUUUGUAUGUUUGCGGGGGAGGGUAAUGGCCCCCUGCAUUUUUCACCCACAUUUAAAAUCAAAAGCUAUAUUAUGAGGAGUUGGACUGUUCUGUCAAAGGCAAAACAAAAAUAAUAUAGAAGGCCUAGGUUUUGCAUAGUCUUAUUUUUUUUAAGAGUUGGGGUCUUGCCGUAUUGCCCAGGCUGGUCUGAAACUCCUGGGCUCAACUGAUCCUCCCGCCUCAGCCUCCCAAAGUGCUGGGAUUACUGGAGUGAGCCAUCGGGCCUGGCCCAGAUUUUGCAUAGUAAAACAGUGAAACAGAUACAGUUGUAUUUAAGGUCAGUAUUCUAGGCCUCCCUUCAACUGCAGUCAUACCAUCAUAGAAGAUAGUUCUAUGUCAUCCUGUUAUCUGGACAUUAUAAUAAACAGCAAGCCCUCUAUACACAGGUUCCAAAUCCCAUUAUCUAGACAUUAUCAACAACAAGCCCUCUCUCUAUACAGAGUUUCCAAAUUCUGAAGCUGAUAGCGCACUUGGUCUCACUGAGC